rnacentral:lncRNA from 1 species
UACGAUCAACGAUCAAAGUACUUGGGAAUUGAGAGAACAAUGAAGUCCUAAAUAUUCUUUUUCAUCCUCAUAGAACCUAGAUCUAACUUGUUUGAAUCAUUAUAUGUUUUAAGGGGGAAAGUCAAGUGUCAGGUCCUCAGGCUAGGUACGGCCGACAACCCAAUUGCUUGAAUGUUGUGUACAAACACGUACACCCCAUUUACAUUCCAAUUUGUUAUGAAAAUG